GUGUGUGAGUGUAUGAGUGUAUGUAUUGUGAUGUAUGGGCGGUUGGGCUGUGUAUGAGUGUGUGAGUGUAUGUAUUGUGAUGUAUGGGCAGUUGGGCUGUGUAUGAGUGUAUGAGUGUAUGUAUUGUGAUGUAUGGGCGGUUGGGCUGUGUGUGAGUGUAUGAGUGUAUGUAUUGUGAUGUAUGGGCGGUUGGGCUGUGUAUGAGUGUGUUAGUGUAUG
rnacentral:lncRNA from 1 species